GGACUGACAGCAACUUGACUUGUUCAACAUUCUCUUCUCCCAAAUAAGACACUGUGGCCAAAGACCAGAGGAUGUGGAAUCGGGGAGGACUAGGAGAGAGCCGCCUAGAGAGCAGGGUAUUUGGUGUCACAUGUGUGAAUUCUCACCUGCCUUCCAGCAAAGAUGUGACCCCAGGAGGGCCAAUCUCCACCUGUGCCCUGGACCCCAACUCUCAGCCAGCAGUGGAGGGCAGGGAUUAA